rnacentral:rRNA from 1 species
CUAACAAGGAUUCCCCUAGUAACGGCGAGUGAAGCGGGAAGAGCUCAAAUUUGUAAUCUGGCGGUCUAUGGCCGUCCGAGUUGUAGUCUGGAGAAGCGUUUUCUGCGUCGGACCGUGUACAAGUCCCUUGGAACGGGGCGUCACAGAGGGUGAGAAUCCCGUCUUUGACACGGACCGCCGACGCUUUGCGAUGCGCUCUCGAAGAGUCGAGUUGUUUGGGAAUGCAGCUCAAAUCGGGUGGUAAAUUCCAUCUAAAGCUAAAUAUGGGCGAAAGACCGAUAGCGAACAAGUACCGUGAGGGAAAGAUGAAAAGCACUUUGGAAAGAGAGUUAAACAGUACGUGAAAUUGUUGAAAGGGAAACGCUUGAAGUCAGUCGCGUCCCUCGGGACUCAGCCGAGCCUUUCUUGGGCUCGGCGUACUUCUCGGGGCGACGGGCCAGCGUCGAUUUUGACCGUCGGAGAAAGGCUUUGGGAAUGUGGCACCUUCGGGUGUGUUAUAGCCCUCGGUCGCAUGCGACGGUUGGGAUCGAGGAUCGCAGCACGCCCUUUCGGGACCGGGGUUCGCCCACGUAACGUGCUUAGGAUGCUGGCGUAAUGGCUUUAAGCGACCCGUCUU